GAUGAACGCUAGCGGCAGGCUUAACACAUGCAAGUCGAGGGGCAGCACGGUGUAGCAAUACAUUGGUGGCGACCGGCGCACGGGUGCGUAACGCGUAUACAAUUUGCCUUAUACUGGGAGAUAGCCCGGAGAAAUUCGGAUUAAUAUCCCAUAAUAAUUUUGGUCCGCAUGGAUUGAUUUUUAAAGCUACGGCGGUAUAAGAUGAGUAUGCGUCUGAUUAGCUAGUUGGUAAGGUAACGGCUUACCAAGGCAACGAUCAGUAGGGGGCCUGAGAGGGUUAUCCCCGACACUGGAACUGAGACACGGUCCAGACUCCUACGGGAGGCAGCAGUGAGGAAUAUUGGUCAAUGGAGGCAACUCUGAACCAGCCAUGCCGCGUGUAGGAAGAAGGCCCUAUGGGUUGUAAACUACUUUUAUUGGGGAAGAAACCCUCUUACGUGUAAGAGGCUGACGGUACCCAAGGAAUAAGGACCGGCUAACUCCGUGCCAGCCGCCGCCGUAAA
rnacentral:rRNA from 1 species